rnacentral:lncRNA from 1 species
UGCUGCUAUAAAGACACAUGCACAUGUAUGUUUAUUGCGGCAUUAUUCACAAUAGCAAAGGCUUGGAACCAACCCAAAUGUCCAACAAUGAUAGACUGGAUUAAGAAAAUGUGGCACAUAUACACCAUGGAAUACUAUGCAGCCAUAAAAAAUGAUGAGUUCACGUCCUUUCUAGGGACACGGAUGAAAUUGGAAAUCAUCAUUCUCAGUAAACUAUCGCAAGAACAAAAAACCAAACACCGCAUAUUCUCACUCAUAGGUGGGAAUUGAACAAUGAGAACACAUGGACACAGGAAGGGGAACAUCACACUCUGGGGACUGUUGUGGGGUGGGAGGAGGGGGGAGGGAUAGCAUUUGGAGAUAUACCUAAUGCUAGAUGAUGAGUUAGUGGGUGCAGCGCACCAGCAUGGCACAUGUAUACGUAUGUAACUAACCGGCACAUUGUGCACAUGUACCCUAAAACUUAAAGUAUAAUAAUAAAAAAUUAAAAAAAAAAAAAAGAAUGCCCACUCUCACGACUUCUUUUGAACAUGGUACUGAAAGUCUUAGCUGGAACAAUUAGGCAUGAGAAGAAAUAAAAGGCAUCCUACUCAUAGGUGGGAAUUGAACAAUGAGAACACAUGGACACAGGAAGGGGAACAUCACACUCUGGGGACUGUUGUGGGGUGGGGGGAGGGGAGAGGGAUAGCUUUAGGAGAUAUACCUAAUGCUAAAUGAUAAGUUAAUGGGUGCAGCACACCAGUAUGGCACAUGUAUACAUAUGUAACUAACCUGCACAUUGUGCACAUGUACCCUAAAACUUAAAGUAUAAUAAUAAUUUAAAAAAAAAGGCAUCCUAAUAUGAAAAGAAGUGAAAUUGCCUGUGUUUGCUGACAACAUGAUUUUAUGUAUAGAAAAACUCUUAAGACUCCACCAAAAAACUGUUAGAGCUGGUAAACAAAGUCAGUAAAGUUGCAGGGUACAAAAUCAAUGUAUAAAAAUUAGCACUUUCAAUAUGAUAAUAAAACCAUCUGAAGAUAAAAUUAAAAAAUAAUCCAAUUUACAAUAGCAACAAAAAUUAAUUUGUUGUAAAUUUAACCAAGGAAGUGAAAGAUCUGUAUACUAAAAUCUACAAAACAUCAUUGAAAAAAAUUGAAGAAAACACACAAAAAUGGAAAGCUAGCCUGUGUUUAUAGAUUUUAAGAAUUAAUAUUGUGAAAAUGUCUGUAUUGCCUAAGGCAAUCAACAUAUUUAAUUUAAUCCCUACCAAAAUUCCAAUGUCAUUCAUCACAAUAAUACAAAAACAAUCCUUAAACCAGUAUGGAACCACAAAAGACCCCAAAGAGCCAAAAUAAUCUUGAGAAAAAUGAACAAAGCUGGAGGCAUCACCUUCCCCAAUUUCAAAGCAUGUUACAAAGCAAUUGUAGUCAAAACAUCAGGGUACUGGCAUAAAAAUGGACACAUUGACAAAUGAAACGGGUUAGAAAGCCCAGAGAUAAACCUGCACAUUUACAGUCAAUUGAUUUGUGACAAAGUUGUCAGGAACACACAGUGGGUGAAAGAACAGGCUCUGUGACAAAUGAUUCACGUUUAUCACAUAUAAAUGAUAAAUUGGAUAUCCACGUGCAGAAGAAUGAAGAUUGACCUUUGUCUCAUACCAUAUACAAAAAUAAUCUCAAAAUGGAUUAAAGACUUAUAUAUAGGAUGUGAAAUUGUAAAACAACAAGAAGAAAGCAUAAGAGAAAAACUCCAUGAUGUUGAUCUGGGCAACAAUUGUUGCCCCCAAAACACUGGCAAAGAAACAAAGUUAGACAAGUGGGAAGACAUCAAACUAAAAAGCUUCUGCGCAGCAAAGGAAACAACAAAAUGGAGAGACAGUUUGUAGAAUGGGAGAAAAUAUUUGCAAACCAUAUAUCUGAUAAGAAGUUAAUAUCCAAAAUAUAUAAAGAACUCAAACAACUCAAUAGCAAGAAGACAAACAACCUGAUUUAAAAAUGGGCAAAGAAAUUGAGCAGACAUUUCUGAAAAGAAGACAUAUAAGUGACCAACACAUACAUGGAAAAAAAUGCUCAGCAUCCCUAAUCUUAGGGAAUUGCAAAUUAAAACCACAAUGAGGUAUCACCUCACAUCUGUUAGAAUGACUUUUAUAAAAUAGAUGAAAGAUAAGUAUCGGUGAAGAUGCAGACAAAAGGGGACUCUUGUACAAUUGUUGGUAGGAAUGUAAAGUAAUGCAGCCAUUAUAGAAAAUGGUAUGGAUGUUCCUCAAGAAACUAAAAAUAGAACUACCUUAUGAUCUGGUAAUCCCACUUGUGGGUAUAUAUCCAAAGGAACCGAAAUCAAUAUGUUGAAGGGUUAUAUGUACUCCUAUGUUCGUUGUAGGAAUAGUGACUGAUAUGGUUUGCCUGUGUCCCCACUCAAAUCUCUUCUUGAAUUGUAGCUCCCAUAAUUCCCAUGUGUUGGGGGAGGGACCCGGUGGGAGAUAAUUGAAUCAUAGUAGGGGUUUCCUUCUUACUGUUCUCAUGGUAGUGAAUAAGUCUCACGAGAUCUUAUGGUUUUACAAGGGGCAACCCCUUUCACUUAAUUCUCAUCCUCUUUUGUCUUCUGCCUUUCGCCUUCCACCAUGAUUGUGAGGCCUCCCCAGCCACGUGGAACUUAACCCUCUUCCACAUGGUGUCUCAUGGAUUCAGGCUCUGUAUUUGAAGACUGUACCAUCUCAACUCAUGGCUUUGAGAGUUACUGCUUUUAAAUGCCUCAGCUCAGAAAAGGCACACACAUCAUUGUAAUUUGCUCCUUGUUUUGCUCUCACCUACUGGGCACAUGACCUCAGUCUAAGUGCAUGGAGGCUGGAAGAUGCAGGGUAGCACACAGAAUAUUUGAGGCAUGGUUUGCAUAUCCAUCAUAGUUCAUGACUGACAAUCUAGAGGUUGGAGCUAACAUUGAAAAACAUAUUGAUUAUUAUGGGACCAAGUGUUUCCCAAAUUAGGGCAUUCUAAUAUAUGCAUUCUUCAUAACAACUGUGUGAAACAUAUUAAUAUCCUCAUUGUUAACGAUGAAGAAACUAAAUCUCAGGAAGAAAAACUAAGUGAAGACAAAAGAAGGAUUUGAACUGAGGUUUGUCAGACUCUCGGGACCAUGCUGUUGAAACCACUAAACCACGCUGCCUCUGGGUCACUUGAUUAUUCUGGGAGAUUCUGGGAGUCUUUUCUCCAACACUCCAGUGGCAUCUGACUAUGUGAGCUGAUAAGAUCUAUAGAUCUUUGCUGAACCUGAUUCUGGAAGGUACAACAAUUUCGGCCAUCUUCCUAAUCAAUACUGUGAGAUGGGACCAAAUUGAUUGUGUGGUACAUGAAGCACAGCCCAGGAAAAGCUGAUGAGACCUAGACACCAUUAUAUAUUUUGCCUGACUUAUUAACUUACUCUGUGUCAAAAUUGAGUCCGUUUUUGAUAAAAAUACAGU